rnacentral:rRNA from 1 species
AUGCCAGACCUCCCCCUGAUUGCUGAGUUAAUGUUACCACCAGUGGAAGGUGAGGAUCACCAAGCUGAACUAGACAGGGACACAAUAGCCCAACAGAUCAAGGACAAUUUACUCAAAGCACAAGAGAGAAUGAAGUUCUUUGCAGACAAGAAGAGAUCUAAGAGACAACUUGCUGUUGGAGAUAUGGUCUAUGUCAAAUUGCAACCAUACAGACACACCAGCUUGAGCAUACACAAACACCUGAAACUUCACUCCAAAUAUUAUGGGCCUUUCAGAGUCAUGGAGAGAAUUGGAGUUGUGGCUUAUAGGUUCCUCCUGCCUGAGGGUUGUCAGCUUCAUCCCACUUUUCAUGUAAGCCAACUCAAGAAGCACAUUGGUCCUGAAGCUGUACCUAACCCUAAAUUGCCUCUCCUAGAUGAACAUGGUAACAUCCUCAUUCAGCCUUAA